GACUCUUGCCAAUGAAUAUUUCUUUCUCUUAUUAUGAAAUGAAGAACACAGAAAAAUGCAAAACUUGGUGUGAAUUACAUAAUCAUGUUAAUCAUUGAGUUUUUGAAUGAAUUUUUUUUUUGAGGCUGUUGUAGGAAAAUCUCCCUACGGACAGGUA
rnacentral:rRNA from 1 species